AUUGCCCCAGUAACGGCGAGUGAAGCGGCAAUAGCUCAAAUUUGAAAUCUGGCUCUUUCAGGGUCCGAGUUGUAAUUUGCAGAGGGCGCUUUGGCGUCGGCAGCAGCCUAAGUUCCUUGGAACAGGUCAUCAUAGAGGGUGAGAAUCCCGUAUGUGGCUGCUUGUCUUCGCCGUGUAAAGCCCCUUCGAUGAGUCGAGUUGUUUGGGAAUGCAGCUCUAAAUGGGAGGUAAAUUUCUUCUAAAGCUAAAUAUUGGCCAGAGACCGAUAGCGCACAAGUAGAGUGAUCGAAAGAUGAAAAGCACUUUGGAAAGAGAGUCAAAAAGCACGUGAAAUUGUUGAAAGGGAAGCGCUUGCAGCCAGACGUGCCCGUAGUUGCUCAUCGGGGGUUCUCCCCCGUGUACUCUUCUAUGGGCAGGCCAGCAUCAGUCCGGGCGGUUGGAGAAAGACCUGUGUCAUGUAGCUGUUUUCGGGCAGUGUUAUAGGGCAGGUGGAAUGCAACCAGCCUGGACUGAGGUCCGCGCAUCUGCUAGGAUGCUGGCGUAAUGGCUGUAAGCGGCCCGUCUUGAAACACGGACCAAGGAGUCUAACAUCUAUGCGAGUGUUUGGGUGUCAAGCCCGAGCGCGUAAUGAAAGUGAACGGAGGUGGGAACCUUUUAGGUGCACCAUCGACCGAUCCUGAUGUCUUCGGAUGGAUUUGAGUAAGAGCAUAGCUGUUGGGACCCGAAAGAUGGUGAACUAUGCCUGAAUAGGGUGAAGCCAGAGGAAACUCUGGUGGAGGCUCGCAGCGGUUCUGACGUGCAAAUCGAUCGUCAAAUUUGGGCAUAGGGGCGAAAGACUAAUCGAACUAUCUAGUAGCUGGUUCCUGCCGAAGUUUCCCUCAGGAUAGCAGUAACGUUUUCAGUUUUAUGA
rnacentral:rRNA from 1 species